rnacentral:pre_miRNA from 1 species
UAUUAAAAAUUUCAUCCAUUUGUACUGUUAAAAACUAACAUGAUUACUGGAAUAACCAGACAGUGACACAUGAACCUCAUAGUGACACAUGAACCUCAUAUUGAUAUACAAGAACCAGUUUUUAACAGUAAAAACCGAUAGUAUUUUUAAUA